GAUGAACGCUGGCGGCGUGCCUAAUACAUGCAAGUCGAGCGAACGGACGAGAAGCUUGCUUCUCUGAUGUUAGCGGCGGACGGGUGAGUAACACGUGGAUAACCUACCUAUAAGACUGGGAUAACUUCGGGAAACCGGAGCUAAUACCGGAUAAUAUUUUGAACCGCAUGGUUCAAAAGUGAAAGACGGUCUUGCUGUCGCUUAUAGAUGGAUCCGCGCUGCAUUAGCUAGUUGGUAAGGUAACGGCUUACCAAGGCAACGAUGCAUAGCCGACCUGAGAGGGUGAUCGGCCACACUGGAACUGAGACACGGUCCAGACUCCUACGGGAGGCAGCAGUAGGGAAUCUUCCGCAAUGGGCGAAAGCCUGACGGAGCAACGCCGCGUGAGUGAUGAAGGUCUUCGGAUCGUAAAACUCUGUUAUUAGGGAAGAACAUAUGUGUAAGUAACUGUGCACAUCUUGACGGUACCUAAUCAGAAAGCCACGGCUAACUACGUGCCAGCAGCCGCGGUAAUACGUAGGUGGCAAGCGUUAUCCGGAAUUAUUGGGCGUAAAGCGCGCGUAGGCGGUUUUUUAAGUCUGAUGUGAAAGCCCACGGCUCAACCGUGGAGGGUCAUUGGAAACUGGAAAACUUGAGUGCAGAAGAGGAAAGUGGAAUUCCAUGUGUAGCGGUGAAAUGCGCAGAGAUAUGGAGGAACACCAGUGGCGAAGGCGACUUUCUGGUCUGUAACUGACGCUGAUGUGCGAAAGCGUGGGGAUCAAACAGGAUUAGAUACCCUGGUAGUCCACGCCGUAAACGAUGAGUGCUAAGUGUUAGGGGGUUUCCGCCCCUUAGUGCUGCAGCUAACGCAUUAAGCACUCCGCCUGGGGAGUACGACCGCAAGGUUGAAACUCAAAGGAAUUGACGGGGACCCGCACAAGCGGUGGAGCAUGUGGUUUAAUUCGAAGCAACGCGAAGAACCUUACCAAAUCUUGACAUCCUUUGACAACUCUAGAGAUAGAGCCUUCCCCUUCGGGGGGGCAAAGUGACAGGUGGUGCAUGGUUGUCGUCAGCUCGUGUCGUGAGAUGUUGGGUUAAGUCCCGCAACGAGCGCAACCCUUAAGCUUAGUUGCCAUCAUUAAGUUGGGCACUCUAAGUUGACUGCCGGUGACAAACCGGAGGAAGGUGGGGAUGACGUCAAAUCAUCAUGCCCCUUAUGAUUUGGGCUACACACGUGCUACAAUGGACAAUACAAAGGGCAGCGAAACCGCGAGGUCAAGCAAAUCCCAUAAAGUUGUUCUCAGUUCGGAUUGUAGUCUGCAACUCGACUACAUGAAGCUGGAAUCGCUAGUAAUCGUAGAUCAGCAUGCUACGGUGAAUACGUUCCCGGGUCU
rnacentral:rRNA from 1 species